rnacentral:rRNA from 1 species
AUUGAACGCUGGCGGCAGGCCUAACACAUGCAAGUCGAGCGGAUGAAGGGAGCUUGCUCCUGGAUUCAGCGGCGGACGGGUGAGUAAUGCCUAGGAAUCUGCCUGGUAGUGGGGGAUAACGUCCGGAAACGGGCGCUAAUACCGCAUACGUCCUGAGGGAGAAAGUGGGGGAUCUUCGGACCUCACGCUAUCAGAUGAGCCUAGGUCGGAUUAGCUAGUUGGUGGGGUAAAGGCCUACCAAGGCGACGAUCCGUAACUGGUCUGAGAGGAUGAUCAGUCACACUGGAACUGAGACACGGUCAAGACUCCUACGGGAGGCCGCAGUGGGGAAUAUUGGACAAUGGGCGAAAGCCUGAUCCAGCCAUGCCGCGUGUGUGAAGAAGGUCUUCGGAUUGUAAAGCACUUUAAGUUGGGAGGAAGGGCAGUAAGUUAAUACCUUGCUGUUUUGACGUUACCAACAGAAUAAGCACCGGCUAACUUCGUG